GCGCCCGUGGUGUAAGGUGAACACCGCUGCCCGGAAAGCAGAAGAUGCGGGUUCGAGUCCCGCCUGGCGCA
rfam:Heligmosomoides polygyrus genome assembly, scaffold: HPBE_scaffold0014727